UGGUGCCAGCAGCCGCGGUAAUUCCAGCUCCAAUAGCGUAUAUUAAAGUUGUUGCAGUUAAAAAGCUCGUAGUUGAAUUUCGGGAUUAGUACGUCGGUCGUACCUUAGGUACGUACUGGUGUUACUGGUUCCUACCUUCUGACGAACCAUCAUGUCAUUAAUUUGGUGUGGUGGGGAAUCAGGACUGUUACUUUGAAAAAAUUAGAGUGUUUAAAGCAGGCUCGCGCUUGAAUACAUUAGCAUGGAAUAAUGAAAUAGGACGUUGAUCCUAUUUUGUUGGUUUCUAGGAUUGACGUAAUGAUUAAUAGGGAUAGUUGGGGGCAUUAGUAUUCAAUUGUCAGAGGUGAAAUUCUUGGAUUUAUUGAAGACUAACUACUGCGAAAGCAUUUGCCAAGGAUGUUUUCAUUAAUCAAGAACGAAAGUUAGGGGAUCGAAGACGAUCAGAUACCGUCGUAGUCUUAACCAUAAACUAUGCCGACUAGGGA
rnacentral:rRNA from 1 species